AACACCGAGAGACAGACCCUCUUUAUCUUCAUCGUCCUCUCGCGAACAUAACCUGCCGCCUGAUAAAUACUCCACACUCCACCCCACCCCUUCACCACUUCUCUCUCUGCACAUUUCCCAUGGCCGAGUCCUCCGCCAAGCACUCUUCAGAUUUCGGUAACUGCCGCGACGGCGUCGUUCCGCACAUGAACAAGAACCCCCUCAAGUUUCAUCUCCAGAAGCUCAGCCUUGAGCUCACUUGCCCUCUCUAGUUGCCUAGGGUUUUUUAAUCGGCCGACAUUGCUUCCAUGCAAUCACAUCUUCUGCAAGUUCGUCUCUUUCUUCGAUUGACAUGAUUUUCAAAGUUCUGAUCUUUUUCUUGCUUUGGGUUUUACUUGCAGCACCUGUGUACCCAAUCGGACCAAUUUUGGAGCAGAGUGCCCUCUGUGUAAUAUCCAAGUUCCCGGUCAAGUUUCAAGUAAGCUGCGUUUGAAAUUCUGAGGGUCAAGGGCUGUAUAAGUAUCAGACAACCUUUCCAGCUGCGUUUAGUAAAGCUUUAAUCAGAACUAAUUUGGCAUAUUCAAUAUCCUCAGGUCUCUGAAAUUUGUUUACUUGGCUCUUCGCGCAGCUGCUGUGGCAUUUCUAUAUAAGUACAUUGGAUUCCCUGCUCCCUGCAUUACAUGAUGUUUUGAUAGAAUGCCUUGGUAGAAUGUUUUGUAAACUCAAAUAAUUUUAGGGAUAGGAAACUUUGUCUCUUAAAUUGUUAGCAACAACA